AAAUUCAAAUAUAGGAAUGCAGAAUUAAAAUAUAUACAAGUAUUUGUAUUAAGAGAUUUUGAGUCUCAAAAAAAAAAUUAUCAGUCAAUAGUAUAUAUGCAAGGCACAAAAAAGCAAUGGUAAAGAAACUAUAAAGCGAUAUCAAGCUAGAAUGAAAAAAAUGAAUUAAAUUUUUAAAUUCAUAAAUUAUGUGUCUUAAAUAAGCAUCUUAAUAAAUGUCAAUGACAGAUAAUACAAAUAUUUGUAAACAAAAUAUAAUUUUACAAAUGAAAAGAAAUGUAAUAGGGUAACUGAUUUACUUCUUCUACCAUUUCAAUAACCAUUGCUAACCUGAGUUCAAUCAUCUAAAUAAAAAACAAUCAGAUUUCUAAACAAGCACCUUUUGUGUAAUUUGUUAGUAUAUGUUUUCAUUUUAAAUAAAAUCUUAUUUCUACUAUGACUUUAAGUGGAGUCCAUAUUUUAACAGUUUUGGUUUACUUAUAUUUCCAUGUUAAUAUAUGUAGUAACGUAUAAAACUGUUUUUUUUUAUUGAUGGAAAUGUUAAUAAUAAUGUUAAGUCCUACACAACCUUAUAAUAAUUUAAAAUAUUUUUGACUAAAGUAAUCUUAAAGUAUGGAAGAGGUGCAGAUUUUCAAAAAAAAUUCUUUACUUACAAACCAGAGCUAUUAGAAUUUAUAAUAAUACAAUUGUAAUGUUUGAAAUAUUUUUCAAUUGGGAUUUUUCUGGUAUAUGGGAGAUAAUUCAAAGUGUAUCAUGUUCAAACAUUGCUCAAUGUCUGAUAGGUAUCAUACAUUUGAAAAAGAGGGGUGAAAGAUACCAGAGGGAAAGUCAUUCUCAUGGAUGGAAAAUAAAUAGAAAAGUUAUGUCGCAAGUCCAGAUAUCUCUAUUUGAAGAAUCUUAAAUUCCUUAAAGAAUAAAAAAAAUAAUAGUAUAUGCACUUUAAGCCGUAAAUAACCUUUUUAACAGCUACCUCAUUUUAGACAUUUUUAGAACAUUAUAUAAGAUAUCAAAAAAAGGAUAUAAUCAAAUUGGAUUUUGUCAAAUUAAUUUACAUUUUGGUAAUCUAAAAAAUAUUUGAGCAAUAAUGAAAUGCAUUAUGCAACUGACAUUUUCUGUCAAAAUAAAUGAGAUCAACAUUUUUUACUCUAGGGCAGUGACAUUUCAACAAGAAGGCAGUUAUUUUCCUUUAACAAGAAAUGUACACAAUCAAAAUUUCAUUGAUCAAAACAAAACAAGUACAAGAAAGACAACCUGCAGUUAUAAAUAUGAAUCUUAAUUUUGUUCUAAAUCAGAUUCUGACAAAUAAAUAAUGAUAAGUAUUUAAGGUGGUACCAAAUACCUUCACAAAACUUUAAUUUGGCUCGUUUAAUUUUCAUAAAAUUUUAAUGUUUACUUUGACCAUAUGACAAAAAUAUAAAAAUUUUAAAAAUCUUGAACCACACACUUUAUCGGAAAGUUUUCUUUGGACAAAUAAUAGUUUGACUAACACUAAUUUUGAUCAUCAAGAAGCUUAAUAUUUCCAGAACAAAAGAACAUAAUUAAAACGUUCAGCUGAUUUUUACAGAGUUAUCUCCCUGUAGUGUUAUGUACCACCUUAAUGAAACUUUUCUAAUAUAAGUGUAAAUUUUUCAAACUUAAAUUAGAUAUCCACCUCUUAGAGAAAUUUUCAACUGAAAAAAAAUCUACAGAAACUUUUUGAUUUCUUUUAUGAUAUUUGUUUGUGCGUUAUGUGUAUGAUUACUAAGGAAAACAAUUCUGUACUAAGCAACAUUCAAAUGAAUUUAAUCAUAAAUUGACUACAUAACUUUAACAACUCAAAAUUGUGUACAUAAACAAUUUUAAUACUAUAAUGUGCCAAUUAUGAUAAAACAUUAUACUACAUGUACUAUGCAUAUUGAAAAUUUUUUAUAAAGUGUGUUAAUUACAAAAAUAAAAUUGAGCAAUUAUCAUCUUUCAAAAAAUCUCUUUUCUAGUAAGUAUUGCAACACAUCUAAAGGGACUACACACUAGCUAUGCUUCAAUACAGGUAUGUCUAUGAAAAAAAAAACCAAUAAAUUAAGGCUUGCUUCAGUUAUUUGCAUAAAUGGCAAGGUACCCUUGAUUUAAAUGAUUAAUUUCAUCUCAAGCAUGAACAUUAUCUUAGAACAGUUAAUUUCAUGGUUCACCUGUAUCCACGAAAAUUGGUAUUCAACGGAUAAUAAUGAGUCCACAGUAUGUCAUUUAUUCAGGCAAGAUAUAGGUUUACCCUGAUAAAAAAUAUCUCACAUUCUAGGAAGAAUGUUUAUUGAAUGAAAUGUUAUAAUAUGAAUGAAACAAGAUAAAGGGCAUAUAUAAAUGAGACUUCUACCUGAGAGAAAACACACAUCAAAGUUUAAAUGUUGUUCCUAAAUAGCACGCAACUGAGACUAAAUAAUGUUAUUUUAUGUCAAAUGACAAAUACUAUAUGUAAAUCCUUCAUAAGACA
rnacentral:lncRNA from 1 species